CAUCAAAGAUGACACCUUCCUUAGAAUGUAAUGACAUGUCUACCAUCUUACCUAGUAUUUUUUAAUGUAAAUAAUAAUCUUGAAAUUUGAAUUCAUUAAAAGAGAAUGGCAACCUGAUA
rnacentral:snoRNA from 1 species